CUUCUUCAUCUUGUUGACAGGAUGUUUUGCAGAAAAAAGGGUCCGGGAUGAAAUACUGAAAAUAGUUCUGGGGAAAUCAGCAAAAGAGCAAGGAACAGUAACAUCCACAAAAUAAAUGAUCCAUACAAGUAAAUGCACACAGGG